rnacentral:tmRNA from 1 species
GGGGGCGUAUUUGGCUUCGACGUGGGUUGCAAAGUCUCUAGGUGCAUGUCGAGGAUGUUACAUACCUCGUAAAUCCAGUAACACGGCAAUUUAACUGCCAACGACGAAAACUUCGCUCUAGCAGCUUAAUAACCUGUUGUAGAGGUUCUGUCCGACGUGUGUCUGUGCGCUCGGGUAGCAGGACUCAUCCCACACAGAAUCGCAGUGAUCUGAGCCCGGCUUUGAGCUGCUAAAACUUUACGGGCUGGCUGCCGGUUUUCCCUGCUCGUUGGGUUGCCAGUAGUAAGACUAAGAACGAGAUAAGCAUGUAGAGCCUAAGAUGGAGGGCUUGCGGACGGGGGUUCGACUCCCCCCGCCUCCACCA